AAAGCCAAUGGACAGGUUGUAGAAACAAGUGUGACGUCAAAGUUAGUAGGCCCACGUGAUGUUCUCGAGGUUUGGAUUCUCAAUUGGGAAGCCAUUGCUUUGCGGUGUACAUAGACUGGAAUGUUAGCACGUGCUGUCGGGGAGAAGAAAUACUUGAAAAUAUGCCAUUUAAAUGCUGUGUAACUGGUUGUCGGGGAAAUUAUAAAGGUACUGAAAAGGUGCAUACAUUUUCCUUUCCCAAAAAUGAUGCUCUUAGAGAGAGGUGGCUAAGAAAUAUACCUAGGAAGGACUUCUCAGCAACUCCAUAUUCUCGGGUGUGCCAUAAACAUUUUCAACCUGAUGACCUCAUCUGGGAAACAUCAGCUUUCGAU